rnacentral:lncRNA from 1 species
AGACUCUGAACUGGCUCCCUACGGAAUGAGUCAGAAAGACGACUGCACUCACUGAGUUAGACAUGGCCUAGACAAGAGAAGAAUUAUGAGUACGGUAGACAACAAUGGCCCUUGCCACCUGAGCAGUCUGCAGGAAUAUACUGCACCAUUGGGAAUUCUGGAUUUCACUGCCAGCAAGCUCUGACAGGCUGCCCAUCACAUGUGGUGUGACUCUGACCUCUGGAGGGAAGGACAAUAGAAGGACUCAUCAGGCUGUCAUGGAGGCACUAAUGCUACAGAACCAACUCCCAGCAGAAGCUCUGGGCUCCAAACCUUGGGUGAAGUCCCUUAGCUGGUAAUGCCUCUAUGGCACUGUCCCUCACUGGUGCUGAGAAUUAAAUACUGUUCAUACAGCUCUGAGGGGAGAGGGGAACGGAGUUCGUGCCUGGUCCCUCCUG